rnacentral:rRNA from 1 species
GAUGAACGCUGGCGGUGUGCCUAAUACAUGCAAGUCGAGCGACAAGAUGAGGAGCUUGCUCUCUUGCCGUUAGCGGCGGACGGGUGAGUAACAAGUGGAUAACAUACUAAUAUGACUGGGAUAAUUACGGGAAACAGGAGAUAAUAAUGGAUAAUACAAUCAACCGCAUGGAGCAAUAGAGCAAGACGGUUUUGCCGACAGAAUUAGAUGGUUCCGGGCCGCAUUAGCUAGUUGGUAAGGUAACGGCUUACCAAGGCGACGAUGCGUAGCCGACCUGAGAGGGUGAUCGGCCACACUGGAACUGAGACACGGUCCAGACUCCUACGGGAGGCAGCAGUAGGGAAUCUUCCGCAAUGGGCGAAAGCCUGACGGAGCAACGCCGCGUGAGUGAUGAAGGUCUUCGGAUCGUAAAACUCUGUUAUUAGGGAAGAACAAAUGUGGAAGAAAAUAUGCACGUCUUGACGGUACCUAAUCAGAAAGCAACGGCUAACUACGUG